rnacentral:rRNA from 1 species
CAGUGGGGAAUUUUGGACAAUGGGGGAAACCCUGAUCCAGCCAUUCCGCGUGUGCGAUGAAGGCCUUCGGGUUGUAAAGCACUUUUGGCAGGAAAGAAAUCGCACAAAUUAAUACUUUGUGUGGAUGACGGUACCUGCAGAAUAAGCACCGGCUAACUACGUGCCAGCAGCCGCGGUAAUACGUAGGGUGCAAGCGUUAAUCGGAAUUACUGGGCGUAAAGCGUGCGCAGGCGGUUCGGAAAGAGAGGUGUGAAAUCCCAGGGCUUAACCUUGGAACUGCACUUUUAACUCCCGAGCUAGAGUAUGUCAGAGGGGGGUGGAAUUCCGCGUGUAGCAGUGAAAUGCGUAGAUAUGCGGAGGAACACCGAUGGCGAAGGCAGCCCCCUGGGAUGAUACUGACGCUCAUGCACGAAAGCGUGGGGAGCAAA